rnacentral:rRNA from 1 species
UGGGGAAUCUUGCGCAAUGGGGGCAACCCUGACGCAGCAACGCCGUGUGAGUGAUGAAGGCCUUUGGGUUGUAAAGCUCUGUCGGCCGGGAAAAAAGGAUACAAUUCGAAUAGGGUUGUAAGAUGAUGGUACCGGCGAAGGAAGCACCGGCUAACUUCGUGCCAGCAGCCGCGGUAAUACGAAGGGUGCGAGCGUUGUUCGGAAUUAUUGGGCGUAAAGAGCGUGUAGGCGGAUGAUUAAGUCAGUAGUGAAAUCCUGUGGCUCAACCAUAGAAGUGCUAUUGAAACUGGUGAUCUUGAGUGUUUUAGGGGAGAGUGGAAUUCCUAGUGUAGAGGUGAAAUUCGUAGAUAUUAGGAGGAACACCUGAGGCGAAGGCGGCUCUCUGGGGAACAACUGACGC